ensembl:misc_RNA
CUGGCAGUAAUAGAAACUGAAGUCCUCUUUUUGUAUCCACAGGAUAGAUACAGUUGGGCCACUCCAGGGUGAGCCUCUCCAUGCUGCCCCAUCAAUGACCUGGAGGGACUUUCUUCCCUCUCUUAGAAGAUAGGAUGUUCGGUCUCCAUAGCAGCUCAGUUCUGGUCCUCU